GAGGAACUUUUGGGCCUUCUGAAGUGCAGCCCAGCUGAAAGAGCCUCUGCUCCUGGGCUGCUCUCUGACCUGCUGGUGAAGACCCAUUACUGUCAUCACCUUGUUCUACUCAUAGUGAGUUCAUCUGUUCUGCUUGUGGACUGAGCAGACACCGAUAUCUCCAAGGUGGCGGCUUAGCACCACAGGAUAUCCAUAUUCUGUAGUGUGCUCUUGUGAAGUUGCCGCUGCUGCUGAGGACUUAAGCGACUGCUGGCUAUGAUGGACGGGUUUCUGCUGGGCAUAUGGCUGAGUGCAGCUUGUGUUGCUUGGCCACCGUGGCCUCCUGAAGUUGUAAGGGUCUUCCAGCAGAGCAGUGGUUGACUGACAGGGAGAGCUUUUGACAGAUGUUUAUUGGUGAUUGGUUUAUUGAUAGGUCAGCUAGUGGUGCACAAAUGCUUCUGCAAAGGAAAGCAGUGUUUGUGGUUGGUUCCUUUUCACCAGCCCACUCUGUUGUGAGAGGAGCCUCUGCCAGCUGUGUUAAGUGAGAUGACUAAUAUCUGCCACAUACUCAUUAAACACUGUAUUUUUGAUACAUCAUCU